UACGGGGGGGGCAAGCGUUGUUCGGAAUUACUGGGCGUAAUGGGCUCGUAGGCGGCCAACUAAGUCAGACGUGAAAUCCCCAGGCUCAACCUGGGAACUGCGUCUGAUACUGGAUGGCUUGAAUCCGGGAGAGGGAUGCAGAAUUCCAGGUGUAGCGGUGAAAUGCGUAGAUAUCUGGAGGAAUACCGGUGGCGAAGGCGGCAUCCUGGACCGGCAUUGACGCUGAGGAGCGAAAGCCAGGGGAGCAAACGGG
rnacentral:rRNA from 1 species